UACGAAGGGGGCUAGCGUUGCUCGGAAUCACUGGGCGUAAGCGCACGUAGGCGGCUUCUAAGUCAGGGGUGAAAUCCUGGAGCUCAACUCCAGAACUGCCUUUGAUACUGGAGAGCUUGAGUCCGGGAGAGGUGAGUGGAACUCCGAGUGUAGAGGUGAAAUUCGUAGAUAUUCGGAAGAACACCAGUGGCGAAGGCAGCUUGCUGGGCUACUCCUGACACUGAGGUACGAAAGCGUGGGGAGCGAACAGGAUUAGGAA
rnacentral:rRNA from 1 species